GACGAACGCUGGCGGCGUGGAUUAGGCAUGCAAGUCGAACGGUAUCAUCCUUUCGGGGGUGAGAGAGUGGCGAACUGGUGAGUAACACGUAGGUUAUCUACCCUCAAGACGGGGACAACCCAGGGAAACUUGGGCUAAUACCGGAUGUGAGCAACUUUUAGUUGUUUGAAAGGUGGCGUAAGCUGUCGCUUGGGGAUGAGCCUGCGUCCUAUUAGUUAGUUGGUGAGGUAACGGCUCACCUAGGCAAUGAUAGGUAGGCGGCCUUAACGGGUGGUCGCCCACACUGGGAUUGAGAUACGGCCCAGACUCCUACGGGAGGCAGCAGUCGAGAAUAGUCUACAAUGGUCGGAAGACUGAUAGUGCGACGCCGCGUGAACGAUGAAUCCCUUCGGGGUGUAAAGUUCUUUUAAUGUGAGCAGUGCUUCUUAUAUUAACAGUAUGGGGAGAGAGAUAUCAGCAUAUGAAUAAGCAACGGCUAACUCCGUGCCAGCAGCCGCGGUAAA
rnacentral:rRNA from 1 species